UACGUAGGGUGCAAGCGUUGUCCGGAAUUAUUGGGCGUAAAGAGCUCGUAGGCGGUCUGUCGCGUCGGAUGUGAAAAUCCAGGGCUCAACCCUGGACCUGCAUUCGAUACGGGCAGACUAGAGUGCGGUAGGGGAGAUCGGAAUUCCUGGUGUAGCGGUGAAAUGCGCAGAUAUCAGGAGGAACACCGGUGGCGAAGGCGGGUCUCUGGGCCGAUACUGACGCUGAGGAGCGAAAGCGUGGGGAGCGAACAGG
rnacentral:rRNA from 1 species